UCAGCAAGUACAUUUUGGGAUCCCAUUUACAAUAAGGUCUCCAAACAGAAGAUUUAUCUGAGAAAACGUUCUAGCAGCUCCGAAUUAUGGCAGUUGUUAAUGAGAACAAAAAUGUAUUUAUUCAGCCAGAGCUGUGCACCAAAAAAAUUAGAGUUGGGAAGAGAAAGAAGCUGGGCAAACCCCAAUCCUUGCUGUGAGACUGCGGAGGGGAGAAGCAAACGUCUAGCAGGGAUUGUUCCAGCUGGUGUUCGGCAACCCGGUGUACCUGCAACAAGCAAGCUGGCCCCUACCUUCUGCUUAGCAAGCCAACUAAUAGUUAGCCAGCAUUGCCUCCAAUUACAACAGGUACUGUGGCUUGAUAUCUGAGGUUUGUUCUCUUAAACUACCUGCAGCUCU
rnacentral:lncRNA from 1 species